CUCUCUAUAUGUUGGUGUUCUAACCAAUAAUCACCGAUACGAUAUUCUGUCCGACCGAUCCGAGAACUAACUAACAAAUGCUAAAUUGCUGACUGUAUAAAACUAUACUUUGUUGACUUACGUUAUGGUUCUGAUCUCGUGACCAUCAUUUGGUUUGAUCUGGUUUUACACUAAUACGUAUUCUACUCUGUUAAACUAUAUGUUUAACUAUCCAAAAGUUCAAAACUAUAACCUUACUAUCAAACAAGAUGUUUAAUCAUCAGAAGAUUCAGAACUAUAAAAGUAGAUGCUUAGUUAUCAGAAGACUUAGAAUCAGGAGGCUUGUUUAAUCAAGACUAUAUGCAACAAGGUGAUUACAAUAUAUUGGAAUAAGAGUUGUGAUACGGCACCGAAAGGCCUAAAGAAGUGGCUUAUUUUAUCAAUUAAACUAAAUUGGAAUAAGAUGUUAACCUGUAGGGGGAGAGGGUUGAGCAGGGGAAGCAAGUGGCCGUGGUUCAUUAGCGCCUGCAAUUUCACCACGGAAUAUGUUAAAAAAUAAUCCAAAUUUUCAGUUUAAAUUGCAGCAUCAAAAUCAAACUUACCUCAGAUCAUACUUGUUUAA